rnacentral:rRNA from 1 species
GACGAACGCUGGCGGCGUGCUUAACACAUGCAAGUCGAACGGUGAAGCGCCUUCCUUUUUGGUGGGUGUGGAUGAGUGGUGAACGGGUGAGUAACACGUGAGUAACCUGCCCCCUUCUUCUGGAUAACCGCAUGAAAGUGUGGCUAAUACGGGAUAUUCUGGGUCUGUCGCAUGAUGGGUCUGGGAAAGAUAUUGUUUCGGUGGGGGAUGGGCUCGCGGCCUAUCAGCUUGUUGGUGGGGUGAUGGCCUACCAAGGCGGUGACGGGUAGCCGGCCUGAGAGGGUGGACGGUCACACUGGGACUGAGACACGGCCCAGACUCCUACGGGAGGCAGCAGUGGGGAAUAUUGCACAAUGGGCGCAAGCCUGAUGCAGCGACGCCGCGUGAGGGAUGGAGGCCUGCGGGUUGUGAACCUCUUUCGCCAGUGAAGCAGGCCUGCCUCGUUUGUGGGUGGGUUGACGGUAGCUGGAUAAGAAGCGCCGGCUAACUACGUG